rnacentral:tRNA from 1 species
AGUACAGUGGAGCAGCAGCAGCGUGCUGGGCUCAUAACCCAGAGGUUGAACCAUCUACUCAUUCCUGUUCUA